AUGGAAUUAGUGGUGUAGGGGUAAAAUCCGUAGAUAUCACUAGGAAUACCGAAAGCGAAGGCGAUCUCCUGGAACAAUACUGACGCUAAGGCGUGAAAGCGUGGGGAGCAAACGGGAUUAGAUACCCCGGUAGUCCACGCCCUAAACGAUGAACACUAGUCGUCGGAAUGCUAGUCAUUUCGGUGAUGCACUUAACAGAUUAAGUGUUCCGCCUGGGGAGUACGGUCGCAAGAUUAAAACUCAAAGGAAUAGACGGGGACCCGCACAAGUGGUGGAGCAUGUGGUUUAAUUCGAAGAUACGCGAAGAACCUUACCUAGCCUUGACAUUGAUUGAACACUUUAGAGAUAGAGUGGUGCCCUUCGGGGAACAUGAAAACAGGUGCUGCACGGCUGUCGUCAGCUCGUGUCGUGAGAUGUUGGGUUAAGUCCCGCAACGAGCGCAACCCUCGUUCUUAGUUGCCAGCAGGUUAAGCUGGGCACUCUAAGGAGACUGCCUUCGCAAGGAGGAGGAAGGUGAGGACGACGUCAAGUCAUCAUGGCCCUUAUGGCUAGGGCUACACACGUGCUACAAUGGGGCGUACAGAGUGUUGCGAUACCGCGAGGUGGAGCUAAUCACUUAAAGCGUCUCUCAGUUCGGAUUGGAGUCUGCAACUCGACUCCAUGAAGCUGGAAUCACUAGUAAUCGUAGAUCAGCAAUGCUACGGUGAAUACGUUCCCGGGUCUUGUACUCACCGCCCGUCACACCAUGGGAGUUGAUUUCACCCGAAAUUGGGAAGCUAACCUUCGGGAGGCUACCACUUACGGUGGAAUUAGCGACUGGGGG
rnacentral:rRNA from 1 species